AUGACCUCAGUCACUAAUCUCCUGGGGAUGCUGCUGCUCUGGUUUACAGGUGCCAGAUGUGAAAUCCAGAUGACCCAGUCUCCAGCCUCCCUGCCUGUGUCUCUAGGAGACAAUAUAAUCAUCAAAUGCAGGGCAAGUCAAGACAUAUACAAUCAUUUAGCAUGGUAUCAGCAGAAACCAGGGAAAUCCCCCAAACUCCUGAUCUAUGCUGCAAAUAGCUUGGUAAAUGAGGUCCCACCGAGGGUCAGUUGCAGUGGAUCUGGCACAUAG